AAAAAAUAAUUAAAAAAGGAAAAGUAUGAGAGAAGGGAGAAAAAGUAGGAGAGAAGGAGAAUUGAGUUUCUCUGAGAAACUUUGAGAAACUAUUCUCAUCCAAUUUGGACAAGUGUCAUCAUGCUGUUAGUUCAAUUAUUAAAUAAUAAUUAAUGUAUCUGUUUUAAUUAAAAUAUUAAU
rnacentral:sRNA from 1 species